GAUGAACGCUGGCGGCGUGCCUAACACAUGCAAGACGAACGGAGUCCAGCCUUUAAGACCUUCGGGUCAAAGAGGGGAAGACUGAGUGGCGGACGGGUGAGUAACACGUGGGCAACCUGGCUCAUAGAGGGGGAUAACAGAGAGAAAUUUCUGCUAAUACCGCAUAAGCACACACUGCCGCAUGGCAGAGGGUGAAAAGAGAAUCGCUAUGAGAUGGACCCGCGUCUGAUUAGCCAGUUGGCAGGGUAAGAGCCUACCAAAGCGACGAUCAGUAGCCGAUCUGAGAGGAUGAACGGCCACAUUGGGACUGAGACACGGCCCAAACUCCUACGGGAGGCAGCAGUGGGGGAUAUUGCACAAUGGGGGGAACCCUGAUGCAGCGACGCCGCGUGAGUGAAGAAGUAUUUCGGUAUGUAAAGCUCUAUCAGCAGGGAAGAUAAUGACAGUACCUGAAUAAGAAGCCCCGGCUAACUACGUG
rnacentral:rRNA from 1 species